ensembl:misc_RNA Metazoa_SRP Metazoan signal recognition particle RNA
GCUGGGCGUGGUGGCUCACGCCUGUAAUCCCAGCACUUUGGGAGGCCGAGGUGGGUGGAUCACUUGAGGUCAGGAGUUCAAGACCAGCCUGACCAACAUGGCGAAAACCCGUCUCUA